UACGUAGGGUGCGAGCGUUAACCGGAAUUACUGGGCGUAAAGUGUGCGCAGGUGGCCGCGCAAGUCGAGUGUGAAAUCCCCGAGCUUAACUUGGGAAUUGCGCUCGAAACUACGUGGCUCGAGUGUGGCAGAGGAAGGUGGAAUUCCACGUGUAGCGGUGAAAUGCGUAGAGAUGUGGAGGAACACCGAUGGCGAAGGCAGCCUUCUGGGCCAACACUGACGCUCAUGCACGAAAGCCAGGGGAGCAAACGGG
rnacentral:rRNA from 1 species